UACGUAGGCAGCGAGCGUUGUUCGGAGUUACUGGGCGUAAAGGGUGUGUAGGCGGUUUUCUAAGUUUGGUGUGAAAUCUCCCCGGCUCAACCGGGAGGGUGCGCCGAAAACUGGGAGACUAGAGUGCGGGAUGGGAAAGUAGAAUUCCUGGUGUAGCGGUGAAAUGCGCAGAUAUCAGGAGGAACACCAGUGGCGAAGGCGGUGCUCUGGGCCGGAACUGACGCUGAGGAGCGAAAGCGUGGGGAGCAAACAGG
rnacentral:rRNA from 1 species